rnacentral:rRNA from 1 species
GACGAACGCUGGCGGCGUGCCUAAUACAUGCAAGUCGAACGCAGUGGGGACGGGUGAGUAACACGUGGGUAACCUCCCAUCAGAGGGGAUAACACUUGGAAACAGGUGCUAAACCGAUACUGAUGGAUGGACACGCGGUGCAUUAGCGAGUUGGGGGGGUAACGGCUCACCAAGGCCACGAUGCAUAGCCGGCCUGAGAGGGUGAUCGGCCACACUGGGAUGGAGACACGGCCCAGCCGCCUACGGGAGGAAGCAUUGGGGAAUCUUCGGCAAUUGACGAAAGUCUGACCGAGCAACGCCGCGUGAGUGAAGAAGGUUUUCGGAUCGUAAAACUCUGUUGUUAGGGACGCGGUAUCUAACCAGAAAGCCCCGGCUAACUACGUGCCAGCAGCCGCGGUAAUAC